ensembl:lncRNA
GGGGAAACCAUUUUUCCCAAGUUGGAGAUUCGAAAUGCCUACCACCUGGUACGGAUACGUGAGGGGGGUGAGUGGAAGACAGCCUUCAACACAGCCAGCGGACAUUAUGAGUAUCAGGCCCAUCCCUCCCCCGGGUCAUUGAUGGCCAGACAGCGUAUAUACGGUGAGGCACCUCCUGAGGGUUCUUCCACGGGGCAUGGGUUUCCAGUACCUGGUUGAUUGAGAGGGUUAUGGCCCAGAGGAGAGGUGCUGGGUCCCUGCUAAAGACAUCAUGGACCAGGCCCUCAUCGCCGAUUUUCACCGCCCCCGGGUCAGCCAGGACCUGAGCCCUAGGACCAUGCCUCAGGACUACCUGGCCUGAUGACUCCUUGUUGUCCCCAGUCCACCUGGUUGUGCUGCUGCUCCAGUUUCAACUGUUCUGCCUGCGGCUAUGGAACCCUGACCUGUUUAUUGGAUGUACUACCUGUCACAGACCUGCUGUUUUCAACUCUCUAGAGACAGCAGGAGCAGUAGAGAUACUCUGAAUGAUCGGCUAUGAAAAGCCAACUGACAUUUUUCCUGAGGUGCGGACUAUGAUUAUUAUUAUUUGACCCUGCUUGUCAUCUAUGAACAUUUAAACAUCUUGGCCAUGUUCUGUUGUAAUCUCCACCCGGCAUGGCCAGAAGAGGACUGGC